rnacentral:rRNA from 1 species
GACGAACCGUGCGAACGUUGUUCGGAUUCACUGGGCUUAAAGGGCGCGUAGGCGGGCACGCCAGUCAGGGGUGAAAUCCUCCGGCUCAACCGGAGAAGGGCCUUUGAUACUGCGUGCCUCGAGGGGUAGGGGCGUGUGGAACUUCGGGUGGAGCGGUGAAAUGCGUAGAGAUCCGAAGGAACGCCGGUGGCGAAGCGACGCGCUGGACCACCUGACGCUGACGGCGCGAAGCCAGGAGCGAACGG